rnacentral:rRNA from 1 species
UGGGGAAUUUUGGACAAUGGGCGAAAGCCUGAUCCAGCAAUGCCGCGUGUGUGAAGAAGGCCUUCGGGUUGUAAAGCACUUUGUCCGGAAAGAAAUCCUUGGCUCUAAUACAGUCGGGGGAUGACGGUACCGGAAGAAUAAGCACCGGCUAACUACGUGCCAGCAGCCGCGGUAAUACGUAGGGUGCAAGCGUUAAUCGGAAUUACUGGGCGUAAAGCGUGCGCAGGCGGUUUGCUAAGACCGAUGUGAAAUCCCCGGGCUCAACCUGGGAACUGCAUUGGUGACUGGCAGGCUAGAGUAUGGCAGAGGGGGGUAGAAUUCCACGUGUAGCAGUGAAACGCGUAGAGAUGUGGAGGAAUACCGAUGGCGAAGGCAGCCCCCCUGGGCCAAUACUGACGCUCAUGCACGAAAGCGUGGGGAGCAAACAGGAUUAGAUACCCUGGUAGUCCACGCCCUAAACGAUGUCAACUAGUUGUUGGGGAUUCAUUUCCUUAGUAACGUAGCUAACGCGUGAAGUUGACCGCCUGGGGAGUACGGUCGCAAGAUUAAAACUCAAAUGAAUUGACGGGGUCAUAGCUGUUUCCU